GACGCUUGUCCAUGCGCAAGGUGAUGCACGGACAUGCGAGUAGGUCCUGACCCCGCGUCGUGCGCAUAGAUGGGAUGUGCGCGCUGUGUGCACAUCCCGCGGCACUAUGCACACAUGUGCGUGUGCACAAUGCUUAGCACCUGCGCGGACAACUAGCUUUCUCAUGGGAAUUUCCCGUGGGAAUUUUUUUUUUCCGUUUCGCUAUUUUUUUAUUUUGUU
rnacentral:lncRNA from 1 species